GAUGAACGCUGGCGGCGUGCCUAAUACAUGCGAGUCGAGCGAACGGACGAGAAGCUUGCUUCUCUGAUGUUAGCGGCGGACGGGUGAGUAACACGUGGAUAACCUACCUAUAAGACUGGGAUAACUUCGGGAAACCGGAGCUAAUACCGGAUGAUAUUUUGAACCGCAUGGUUCAAAAGUGAAAGACGGUCUUGCUGUCACUUCUAGAUGGAUCCGCGCUGCAUUAGCUAGUUGGUAAGGUAACGGCUUACCAAGGCAACGAUGCAUAGCCGACCUGAGAGGCUGAUCGGCGACACUGGAACUGAGCCACGGUCCAGACUACUAAGGGAGGCAGCAGUAGGGAAUCUUACGCAAUGGGCGAAAGCCUGACGGAGCAACGCCGCGUGAGUGAUGGCGAUCUUCGGAUCGUAAAACUCUGUUAUUAGGGAAGAACAUCUGUGUAAGUAACUGUGCACAUCUUGACGGUACCUAAUCAGAAAGCCACGGCUAACUACGUG
rnacentral:rRNA from 1 species